rnacentral:ncRNA from 1 species
GAGAGCCGGAUGCAGGGAGAUCCGCAUGUCCGGUUCAAUGAGCAAGGGGUGAAAACGGGUCGUCUGGUAAGCUCCACAGGCGAACCGCACGAUACCGCGCCACCUCCUGACUCUAC